rnacentral:rRNA from 1 species
CACGUAGGGCGCGAGCGUUGUCCGGAAUUAUUGGGCGUAAAGAGCUCGUAGGCGGCCUGUGCGUCCGCUGUGAAAGCCCGGGGCUUAACCCCGGGUCUGCAGUGGAUACGGGCAGGCUAGAGGUAGGUAGGGGAGAAUGGAAUUCCCGGUGUAGCGGUGAAAUGCGCAGAUAUCGGGAGGAACACCGGUGGCGAAGGCGGUUCUCUGGGCCUUACCUGACGCUGAGGAGCGAAAGCGUGGGGGAGCGAACAGGAUUAGAU